UAGAUUAUCGCCUCAUUUCUGCUUAAAACUGACUUCAGAAUGAUUUAAGGGGUUUCACUUUGUCAUCUGAUGGUUAAUAAUCACAUAGUUCCCUUUGAUUAGUUUGGGUGUAGACAGUUAGACUCAGAGUCAUAAUACUCUGCAUACCAAA